rnacentral:rRNA from 1 species
ACACGCAUGACACACUGCAUAUCAAUAAGCGGAGGAAAAGAAACUAACUAGGAUUCCCCUUAGUAACGGCGAGUGAAGCGGGAAGAGCUCAAAUUUGAAAUCUUCAAGGGUUUACCUUUACGAAUUGUAGUUUAAAGAAGUGUUUUCUGUUGGAGUUUCGGUAAAAGUUCUUUGGAAUAGGACAUCAUAGAGGGUGAGAAUCCCGUAUUUGACCAGUUACUUUCCAGCUGUGUGAUACACUUUCAAAGAGUCGGAUUGUUUGGGAAUGCAGUCCAAAAUGGGUGGUAAAUUUCAUCUAAAGCUAAAUAUUGGCGAGAGACCGAUAGCGAACAAGUACCGUGAGGGAAAGAUGAAAAGAACUUUGAAAAGAGAGUUAAACAGUACGUGAAAUUGUCAAAAGGGAAGCGUUUGACACCAGUGUUGUUUAGUUGAAAAUCAAUUCAAUAGUUUUUGAUUUUAAGUAGUAUUGACUUCAUCAGCUUGCUGCUUUCUUCUCAGGAAAUUAUUGAAUGCACUUUUCAGUUAACAAGUCAACAUCAAUUUCUUUUGUUGUAAAAGGGUAAGAGGAAGGUGGCUUACGCUUCGGCGUAAGUGUUUAUAGCCUUUUACCUCUGCAAUCGGAGAGAUUGAGGUCUGCAGCGUAGAUCCUUCGGGGAUAGAUACAUUUGUGCUAAGCUAUAGCCUUGUAUAGACAACUUGUUGACUAUGCUCAGUCAUGUAGCUUACUCGCUUAUGCUAUUUUACCUACGCUUAGGAUGUUGAGCGCAUGUCUCUCUCU